UACGGAGGGUGCAAGCGUUAUCCGGAUUCACUGGGUUUAAAGGGUGCGUAGGUGGAUUGGUAAGUCAGUGGUGAAAUCUCCAGGCUUAACUUGGAAACUGCCAUUGAUACUAUCAAUCUUGAAUGCCGUGGAGGUCAGCGGAAUAUGUCAUGUAGCGGUGAAAUGCUUAGAGAUGACAUAGAACACCGAUUGCGAAGGCAGCUGGCUACACGAAGAUUGACACUGAUGCACGAAAGCGUGGGGAUCAAACAGG
rnacentral:rRNA from 1 species